rnacentral:rRNA from 1 species
GAUGAACGCUAGCGGCAGGCUUAGUACAUGCAAGUCGUGGGGCAGCAUGAGUAGCAAUACUUGAUGGCGACCGGCAAACGGGUGAGGAACACGUACACAACCUUCCUUCAAGCGGGGAAUAGCCCAGAGAAAUUUGGAUUAAUACCCCAUAAUAUAUUUGAUAAGGCAUCUUAUUAAUAUUAAAGCUUCGGCACUUGAUGAUGGGUGUGCGGCUGAUUAGAUAGUUGGCGGGGUAACGGCCCACCAAGUCUACGAUCAGUAGCUGAUGUGAGAGCAUGAUCAGCCACACGGGCACUGAGACACGGGCCCGACUCCUACGGGAGGCAGCAGUAAGGAAUAUUGGACAAUGGACGAAAGUCUGAUCCAGCCAUGCCGCGUGAAGGAUUAAGGUCCUCUGGAUUGUAAACUUCUUUUAUAUGGGACGAAAAAGGGCAUUCUUGUUCACUUGACGGUACCAUAUGAAUAAGCACCGGCUAACU